rnacentral:rRNA from 1 species
GAUUAGAAAAUUAUUAAUUUUAGAUUUAUUAUUUUAAUUUAAAUAAUUUUAUUUAUUGUUAUUUUAAGUAUAUAUUAUAGAAAAAAUUUUUUUAAUUAUAGUUUAUUAGUAUAGUAAUAGAAAUUUGUAGUAUAGUGUUAUUAAUAAAAAGUAAAAUUAAUUUUUUGUACCUUGUGUAUCAGGGUUUAUUAAAUAAAUGUUAUAAAUUUUAAUUUUCCCGAUUUAAAGAGAGAGAAUAAAUUAUUUUUUUUAUUAUAAAAAAAAUAUUUAAAAUUAUUUAUUAGAAAUGAAAAGUUAUUCGUUCUUUAAUAUAUCUGGUUUAUUUAGAAAUAAAUUUAAUUUAGUUUAUUAAAUUUUAUUAAUUUAUUUUUAUAAAUUAAUAAAUUUUUUAAGUAUUAAUUAAAGGGAUAAGCUUUUAAUUAAAUUUUUAUAAUUAAUAAAGUAUAAUAGAAAUAUAUAGGUUUAGAAAUAUUUUUUGUUAAUAAUUUGUUAUAAUUAAUUUUUGUUAAUAUAUUAUUUUAUAAUAAUUUAAAAUUUUAUAAAUAGAUUUUAUUUAAUAUUUUAAUAUAAGUUAUAAUGAUAAAAUUAGUAUUUAUAAAAAUGUUUAUUUAAUAGUUUAAAAUAGAUUAUUUAAAGGAAUUCGGCAAAUAUUUUAUUCGCCUGUUUAACAAAAACAUGUCCUUUAGAAUAAAUUAUUUAAGGUCUAGCCUGCCCACUGAAGAAUUUGAAUGGCCGCAGUAAAUUGACUGUGCAAAGGUAGCAUAAUCAUUAGUUUUUUAAUUAAAAGCUUGUAUGAAUGGUUUGACGAGAUAAAAUCUGUCUCUAAAUAAUAAAAAGAAUUUAAUUUUUAAGUUAAAAAGCUUAAAUAUUAAUAAAAGACGAGAAGACCCUAUAGAUUUUUAUAUUAAAUUUAAUAAUUUUAUUUAAGAUUUUUUUUAUAAUUAUUAUAUUUAUUAUUAUAUUGGGGUAAUAGAAAGAUUAAUAAAAUUCUUUUUAAUUAAUUACAAUAAUAUUUGUUUAUUUGAUCCUUAAUUUAAGAUAAUAAGAUUAAGUUACCUUAGGGAUAACAGCGUAAUUUUUUUAAAGAGUUCAUAUCGAUAAAAAAGUUUGCGACCUCGAUGUUGGAUUAAAAAUUAUUCUAGGUGUAGAAGUUUAGAAGUAUUUGGUCUGUUCGACCAUUAAAUUUUUACAUGAUCUGAGUUCAGACCGGCGUAAGCCAGGUCGGUUUCUAUCUUUAUUUAAUUAUUAUAUUUUAGUACGAAAGGACCAGAUAUAAAAUAUAUAAAUAUUUAUUUUUUGAAUAAUAUU